rnacentral:rRNA from 1 species
UACGUAGGGUGCGAGCGUUAAUCGGAAUUACUGGGCGUAAAGCGUGCGCAGGCGGUUCGUUGUGUCGGUGGUGAAAGCCCCGGGCUUAACCUGGGAAUGGCCAUGGAAACUGGCGAACUGGAGUGUGGCAGAGGGGGGUGGAAUUCCGCGUGUAGCAGUGAAAUGCGUAGAGAUGCGGAGGAACACCGAUGGCGAAGGCAGGUCUCUGGGCCAUAACUGACGCUGAGAAGCGAAAGCAUGGGGAGCGAACAGG